rnacentral:rRNA from 1 species
CAGUGUGAAAAACUCCGGUGGUAUACGAUGGAUCCGCGUCUGAUUAGCCAGUUGGCGGGGUAACGGCCCACCAAAGCGACGAUCAGUAGCCGGCCUGAGAGGGUGAACGGCCACAUUGGGACUGAGACACGGCCCAAACUCCUACGGGAGGCAGCAGUGGGGAAUAUUGCACAAUGGGGGAAACCCUGAUGCAGCGACGCCGCGUGAGUGAAGAAGUAUUUCGGUACGUAAAGCUCUAUCAGCAGGGAAGAAAAAAAGUCCUUUGGACUUUGGACGGUACCUGACCAAGAAGCCCCGGCUAACUACGUGCCAGCAGCCGCGGUAAUACGUAGGGGGCAAGCGUUAUCCGGAUUUACUGGGUGUAAAGGGAGCGUAGACGGCAGCGCAAGUCUGGAGUGAAAUGCCGGGGCCCAACCCCGGAACUGCUUUGGAAACUGUGCAGCUGGAGUGCAGGAGAGGUAAGCGGAAUUCCUAGUGUAGCGGUGAAAUGCGUAGAUAUUAGGAGGAACACCAGUGGCGAAGGCGGCUUACUGGACUGUAACUGACGUUGAGGCUCGAAAGCGUGGGGAGCAAACAGGAUUAGAUACCCUGGUAGUCCACGCCGUAAACGAUGAUUACUAGGUGUCGGGGGGCCAAGGCCCUCCGGUGCCGCCGCAAACG